GCCAGGAUAGAGAACUUUCUCUCCCUCCUACUUCUGCUUACUCUUCUGACAACUAUUGGAUCACUCCUUGGAGCUAACACCCCACUAGGUGUCUCUUCCUGCACUUCUGCUUGAUUGUUUCCUUCCUUCCUCCAGCCACAGGAAGAUGGCCAAGUUUGUGUUCCUCAGCCGAUGCAGAGUUCAAGAAUGGAAGCAAAAUUUUGAGACCACUUCUCUUUAGGAACAGAAUUGUUCACAAACAGAAGCAUCCAUGAACCCAGUGGGUCAUAGGGGAUUCCCCUCCCCCACCACACACAAAAAGCUGUGGCUGUGAGAAAAUGGAGAACUCGCUGUACAGUGGAUACCAUGAGGAUCUGGACCUGCUUUUGUGUCUCUUACCCUCAGCUUACACUAAACCCAAUUGAACAAUUCUCUGCACUGCACCUCUGCCAUGCUGCCCUGCCUGGGAGCCAGCAGAAUAUGGACUGAAACCUCCACCAACUGUGAGCCAAAAUAAACCUUUCUUCCUUUAAAUUGAUCACAUCAGAAUACCACAUUACCCAUAAUUAUAUUAUCUUCAUGGAUUCUUCUGGUCUGUGACAGAUUGACUUUCCUUGUUUUUAAUGAUCUUGAGAGUUCUGAGGAGUAAUGAUCAGGUAUUUUGUAGAAUUUUCCUCUAUUAGCAUUUAUGUGAUGUUUUUCUUAUAAACGAAUAGUGAUUAUAUGGUUUUAGAAGGAAUAUCACAGAGGUAAAGUGGUAUUCUGGUCACAUCAAAGUACACAUGAACAUGACUUAUCACUGUAGAAUGUUGAUCUUGAUCAUUUGGCUUAGGAUUUCUUCUUUGGAAAGGUACUCUUUGUUCCUCCAUUGCCUACUGUACUCAUUUUAAAGAAGUCACUGUCCAGAGUUCAAACUUAAGAAAUGCAGAAUUUAUACUACACUUACACAGCAUCUAUGCUAAUUGUGUGGACUUCAUUUUGUGAUUUUUCAAUAUUUUGAGCUCUAUGUUCUGGAGAUUAAUUCCUUGAUAGAUGAAUAGUUAGCAAAUAUUUUCUCCCACUCUCUAGGUUGUCUUUUAAUUCUGCUGAUUAUUUCUUUUGCAGUGCAGAAAUGUCUUAGUUUGAUGUAGUCACAUUUGUCUACUUUUUUAUUAUUGGUAGUAUGGGGUUCUAUCUAAAAAAAAUCAUUCAUUAUGCCAAUAUUGUGAAGUGUUUCUCCUGUUUUCCAUACAAGUCAGUUAAAUGCUUAGAGUCCAUGGCAAUGCUCUCCACUAGUCCAGCCAGUGGCCUAGAGCCCCUAGGAGUGUCUCAUCCUUCUCCAUAUUGAGGAUCUGCACUUGGAAGGCCCAAAGGCCAGUGGUGGAAGCCAGAAAACCUACACCGGUGAGAUGAAGGAUUUGUGCCACCAAGCUAAGGGAUCCACAUUGGAGCCAGCCUGAGGAAAACAGCAGCCAUUCCCAGCGACAGUAAAGCCCCAAGCUCCUUCUCCAAGGAGAACAGCCUAGUUUGCAUCAGGAAAACCAUCUGCAGAAAGCUUCUCCUAGAAAAUCAACAGGCCACGAUCUUCUUCCUCAAGUUCUCUUUUCAUGGUCAUUGGCAAAAAUCCUCAGGUGGAUCCUCCUUGCCCAGACCAUGCUGAUUCAGUUCAGCUGGGUGAUACAAGUAGACCAUUAGUCAAUCUACCACAGUAACUUUAUCAAAAAACUUAGAAGUGAAACACAUUGAGUCGUCUCUAGAUGUUUCCAUGUAUAGAAUCAUGUCAUCUGCAAACAUGAAUCAUUUACUUUCAUUUCCAACUGGAUGCCCUUUCUUUCUCUUCCCAAGAUUUUCAGUACCAUAUUAAGUAAAGAAUGAUGAAAUCAGGUAUUCUAGUCGUAUUCUCAAUCUUAUAGCAAAUACUUUCAGCUUUUCACUGUUUAGUAUGUUAUUGGCUGUGAAUUUUUCAUAGCCUGUAAUAUUUUGAAAUAUGUUGCUUCUGUACUUAAUUUUUUGUAAAGUUUUAUCAUCAAGCAGUGUUGAACACUAUCAAAUGCUUUUUCUGCAUAUAUUGCAGUGAUAAUUUUUUUCUUCAUUCUGUUUAUAUGUUAAAUCAUCCUUGGCUUCUUGGGAUGAAUAUCAUUUGAUUAAUGUUUGUAAUCUUUUUGAUGUUCUGUUAAUUCAAUUUGAGUGUAUUUUAUUGAGAAUGUUUGCAUCUGUGUUCAUCAGGGGAUCUAUCAUUUCCUUUUUGUUGUAUCUUUGGUUUAUUAUAUCAGGGUAAUGCUGGUCUCAUAAAAAAGAUUAGCAGAGUACUUUAGUUUUAAUUUUUUGGAAUAGUUUAAGAAAAAUUGGAAUUAUUUCUUUAAUAUCUUCUAGAAUUUAGUAAUAAAGGUCCUGGAUUUUAGAUGAGAGAUUUUUAAUUACUUUAGAUGAGAGAUUUUUAAUUUAAUAAUUUAAGUUUUGAAAAUCUCACUCAUUAUUGGUCUGUUCAAAUUUUUUAUUUCUUCUUGAUUUAAUUUUGAUAAGUUUUUAUGUGUUUAGAAAUUUACAUAUUUCUAGUGGUGUUCCACAAUUUUAACAUAUAAUCCUUCAUUGUAGUUUCUAUGUAAUUUUACCUUUUUAUCUGAUUUUAUAUACAGACAUCCCUCAUUUAAUGACUUUUAUUCAUAUGAUAAAGUCAUCAAAAAAUUGGUCACAAAAUGAGGAAUUGUAUAAAGUAUGCAUAUUACAAUAUUCAGAACAAAGAAAUGGCCAAAGGCAACUCCAAUUUGAUGACAACUUUUAUUUGCAUAAAUCUUACAUUCAAUACUGUACUGUACAAUAGAACAUAAAACUACAGUAGUAUAUAAUACAACCUGCAACAAUUACAGCACUGCACAGUUGAAGAAGCCUCUGUAAGGCUGCACCACAGCUCAUGUUCCUGCAUUGCAAGUCAGAGCACUGUGUUGUAAGUCUGCACAGUCCUGAAACAGGUAGGUCUUUAAAUGAGAGAUAGCUGUAUUUGGACCUUCUCUUUUAUUUCUUGGUUACUCUAGC
ensembl:lncRNA